AGGAUCAUUACAUAUAUGAAAGCCGGGCUGGGGCUCCCAGGCGCCCACGUUUCUGCCACAAUGGUAGGAGUGAGGACGCUUGCCCAGUCUGACUGAAUUAUUCACCCAUGUCUUUUGCGUACUUCUUGUUUCCUGGGUGGGCUCGCCCACCAACAGGACAACCAUUAAACCUUUUGCAAUAGCAAUCAGCGUCAGAAAAAACAAAAUUAUUACAACUUUCAACAACGGAUCUCUUGGUUCUGGCAUCGAUGAAGAACGCAGCGAAAUGCGAUAAGUAGUGUGAAUUGCAGAAUUCAGUGAAUCAUCGAAUCUUUGAACGCACAUUGCGCCCCUUGGUAUUCCAUGGGGCAUGCCUGUUCGAGCGUCAUUUGUACCCUCAAGCUUUGCUUGGUGUUGGGUGUUUGUCUUACGAGACUCGCCUUAAAACAAUUGGCAGCCGGCCUACUGGUCUCGGAGCGCAGCACAAGUCGCGCUCUGUACCAGAAGGGCGGCGUCCAAGAAGCCUCAUUUUCCACUUUUGACCUCGGAUCAGGUAGGGAUACCCGCUGAACUUAA
rnacentral:rRNA from 1 species